rnacentral:rRNA from 1 species
AGUCGAACGCGAAAGUUCCCUUCGGGGAAUGAUUAGAGUGGCGUCCGGGUGAGUAACACGUGGGUAAUCUACCUUCGGGUGGGGAAUAACAGUCGGAAACGACUGCUAAUACCGCAUAAUGCAGCGGCACCUAAUGGUGACAGUUGUUAAAGCGGGGGAUCGUAAGACCUCGCGCCUGAAGAGGAGCCCGCGGCGGAUUAGCUAGUUGGCAGGGUAACGGCCUACCAAGGCGACGAUCCGUAGCCGGCCUGAGAGGGCGGUCGGCCACACUGGCACUGACAUACGGGCCAGACUCCUACGGGAGGCAGCAGUCGGGAAUUUUGGGCAAUGGGCGAAAGCCUGACCCAGCAACGCCGCGUGAAGGAUGAAGUAUUUCGGUAUGUAAACUUCACAAGAAUGGGAAGAAUAAGUGGGGGAUAAUACCCCCCAUGAUGACGGUACCAUUUGUAAGCUCCGGCUAACUCCGUGCCAGCAGCCGCGGUAAUACGGGGGGAGCAAGCGUUGUUCGGAUUUACUGGGCGUAAAGGGCGCGUAGGCGGCGUGACAAGUCACUUGUGAAAUCUCCGGGCUUAACUCGGAGCGGCCAAGUGAUACUGUCGUGCUAGAGUGCGGAAGGGGCUACUGGAAUUCUCGGUGUAGCGGUGAAAUGCGUAGAUAUCGAGAGGAACACCUGCGGCGAAGGCGGGUAGCUGGGCCGACACUGACGCUGAGGCGCGAAAGCUAGGGGAGCGAACGGGAUUAGAUACCCCGGUAGUCCUAGCCUUAAACGAUGGAUACUUGGUGUCCGGGGUUACAUAGUCCCCGGGUGCCGGCGCUAACGCAUUAAGUAUCCCGCCUGGGGAGUA